CUGCUGGGCUUUAACUGACGCUGAGGCACGAAAGCGUGGGUAGCAAACAGGAUUAGAUACCCUGGUAGUCCACGCUGUAAACGAUGAUUACUAGGUGUGGGGGGACUGACCCCUUCCGUGCCGGAGUUAACACAAUAAGUAAUCCACCUGGGGAGUACGGCCGCAAGGUUGAAACUCAAAGGAAUUGACGGGGGCCCGCACAAGCAGUGGAGUAUGUGGUUUAAUUCGAAGCAACGCGAAGAACCUUACCAGGUCUUGACAUCCAACUAACGAAGUAGAGAUACAUCAGGUGCCCUUCGGGGAAAGUUGAGACAGGUGGUGCAUGGUUGUCGUCAGCUCGUGUCGUGAGAUGUUGGGUUAAGUCCCGCAACGAGCGCAACCCUUGCUAUUAGUUGCUACGCAAGAGCACUCUAAUAGGACUGCCGUUGACAAAACGGAGGAAGGUGGGGACGACGUCAAAUCAUCAUGCCCCUUAUGACCUGGGCUACACACGUACUACAAUGGCCAUCAACAGAGGGAAGCAAAACAGCGAUGUGGAGCAAACCCCUAAAAAUGGUCUCAGUUCAGAUUGCAGGCUGCAACCCGCCUGCAUGAAGUCGGA
rnacentral:rRNA from 1 species